CUGGGCUUAGUGCAGAUGAGCAGGUCGGCGCUGGGGCAGCUGGUGGAGUGGGUGGCAGGUGAAAGUGACAGCCUCCUGUCCAUGCUGCUCAUCUCCUGCGCCUUCAUUCUCAGCCUGGUCUGCUUUGCCACAAUAGUAACCACCUGGCCUAGCUGCCAGCUGGUGCAAAAUGCUCAUCAUAUGUUUUCUCUCCCAUUACAUUCCUUGGGCAUGCCAUACAUUUGGGAAAAGUUAAAUUGAAUUUCUAGAAAGUGCAUAUGAGAAGUAUGGGCAUAUGAGAAGUAUGGACCUGUAUGUAGUUUUUCUGUGGUGAGCAAGACAUUUACGCACCACUUUUUAAUAGUAAAACCAAAGAUGCAGAAGAUGUCUACAGUCAUCUCAGGACACCUGCGUUUGGGAAGGGAGUUGAAUGUGACAUGCCUAAUCCAGCGUUCUUGGGGCAAGAGAAAAUGUUAAAAAGUAGCCUUAAAGUAGCCCACUUUAGACAGCAAGUUUCUAUAACUGAAAAAGAAAGGAAUACUUUCAAGCUGGGGAGAAAGCAGAGAAAAAAAUUGUGUGAAGCUCUUUCUGAGCUCAUAAUUUGAUAGCUAGCCAUGGUUUACAUGGAAAGGAAAUCAGAAGUCAACUCAGUAAGAGGUGGCACAGCUGUGCGCAGAUGUGAGUGGCGGCUUCAAGCCUUUGGCCUGGCUGCGGCCACGUUGGCUGCCUCUGCGUGGUUGCAGAAGCAGCUACAAAGCUCAUUGAGAGCACAACUAUUGUCUGUAAGGCAACCCAGAAACACAGAAACCAGAAGAAAAAAUCCAAGGCAUUCUCCAAACUUUACUGGAUACUACAGACAAGGGUGAGCACCUGUUGGCAGAUGAGGAAGUCACAGGGCUGCUUAUUAGACUGUUCUCAGGGCAGCAUACAUCCUCAACUACUGGUGCCUAAAUGAGCUGCUUUGUAGCCAGAGAUGAAACACUUCAUGAAAAAUGUUAUUUGAAGCAGAAAACUGUCCGUGGAGAGGAUCUACCUUCUUUAACUUAUGACCUGCUCAAGAUUGAAACUCACUUAGACUUCCUGUAUUGACUAUAUUGAGAAUGGCUAAACUGCCUCAGAGGGUGUGAUAGGACGUACCAUUCCUGCAGGCCACCAAAUGGGUUUAUCUCUCACUGUCAAUCAAGGAUUUCAAGACACUUGGGUGGAGCUUGUGGAUCCUGAUCAGUGAUUACAGGACAUCUCAACAGGAGAGAAGAUGGUCUUGGAGGCGGGCGUCAUCAUAUUGGGAAAAAUUUUGCCCAUGUUCAGAUCAAGACAGUUUGGUCCACUCUGUUUCAUUUGUAUGAAUUUGAUUUCAUUGAUGGAUAUUUUCCCACUGUAAAUUAUAAAACCGUGGUUCAUCACACCCCUAAAAACCCAGUUAUCACAUACAAAUGAAGAUCAAAAUGA
rnacentral:lncRNA from 10 species